CUAGCAAGGCAGGCCAACAUUCAAAUUCAGGAAAUACAGAGAAUGUUGAAAAGAUACUCCUUGAGAAGAGCAACUGCAAGAUACAUAAUUGUUAGAUUCACCAGGUUGAAAUGCGGGAAAAAAUGUUAAGGGCAGCCAGAGAGAUAGGUCGGACAGGUCAGGGUACC